UGGAAUUUAGAUCAUCAUUAAGAAUUAAUUAAUCAAUCAGUCAAGUAUGGCUUCUGGCGCUAAGCCUAUGUUCGUCAUCUUCAUCAUCUUCUCCAUCCUUUUGCUGCUCUUCAUUAAUACACCGGCCGCUGGAGUUAGUAUAGAUCCUGGACGCCCUUUGAAUCCUGACAAACCUGUUUGCGGUGGACCGAAAGGCAAACCUUGCGUCCCCAACCAGCCGUAUCGGAGGCCAUGCAGAACUUAUUACGGUUGUAAGCCGCCGGCCUCAAAUAACGUUGCUACCAGACCAAAUAUCAAAACUAACAACUGAAGUCGCCUGUAAAACAGGCAAGCAUGCAUGGCAUGCAUAUUGUAUUAGUGAUGCAGAUCAUUAUGUAUGCAUGCAGUAUCUAGCUACCAGCUACAUGCCACCUUAUUAUCAUCCUUCAUGAUUUUGAAGGCUUGAAUAAAUAAAUAAGUGGCAAGAAAUGGUUCUAGUUAA